rnacentral:rRNA from 1 species
CCUACGGGAGGCAGCAGUGAGGAAUAUUGGUCAAUGGACGAGAGUCUGAACCAGCCAAGUAGCGUGAAGGAUGACUGCCCUAUGGGUUGUAAACUUCUUUUAUAUGGGAAUAAAACAGGGUAUGCAUACCCUCUUGUAUGUACCAUAUGUAUAAGGAUCGGCUAACUCCGUGCCAGCAGCCGCGGUAAUACGGAGGAUCCGAGCGUUGUCAGGAUUUAUUGGGUUUAAAGGGAGCGUAGGUGGAUUGUUAAGUCAGUUGUGAAAGUUGGCGGCUCAACCGUAAAAUUGCAGUUGAAACUGGCAGUCGUGAGUACAGUAGAGGUGGGCGGAAGUCGUGGGGUAGCGGUGAAAUGCGUAGAUAUCACGAAGAACUCCGAUGGCGAAGGCAGCUCACUGGACUGCAACUGACACUGAUGCUCGAAAGUGUGGGUAGCAAACAGGAUUAGAUACCCUGGUAGUC